UACGUAGGGAGCAAGCGUUGUCCGGAAUCAUUGGGCGUAAAGCGCGCGUAGGUGGCCUCAUAAGUCCGCUGUGAAAGUCAAAGGCUCAACCUUUGAAAGCCGGUGGAUACUGUGGGGCUAGAGUACGGAAGAGGCGAGUGGAAUUCCUGGUGUAGCGGUGGAAUGCGCAGAUAUCAGGAGGAACACCGGUGGCGAAGGCGGCUUGCUGGGCCAGUUCUGACGCUGAGGAGCGAAAGCGUGGGGAGCGAACAGG
rnacentral:rRNA from 1 species